rnacentral:rRNA from 1 species
GAUGAACGCUCGCGGCGUGCCUAAUACAUGCAAGUCGAGCGAACAGACGAUGAGCUUGCGCCUCUGUCGUGAGCGGCGGACGGGUGAGUAACACGUGUAUAACCUACCUAUAAUACUGGUAUAACUUGGGGAAACCGGAGCUAAUACCGGAUAAGAUAUUGAACCGCGUUGUUCAAUGGUUAAAGACGGUUGUUCGGUCUCGUAUAGAUGGAUCCCCGCCGCUUUAGGUAGUUGGGAAGGUAACGGGUUACCAAGGUAACGAUGCGUAGCCGAACGGAGGGAGUGGUAGGCCACCUGGGAACGGAGCCAGGCUCCAGGCUCCUAAGGGACGGACCAGAAGCGAAUCUUCCGCAGUGGGCGGAAGAAUGACGGAGCGACGGCGAGUGAGUGACGAAGGUCUUCGGUUCGUAAAACUCUGCUAUUAGGGAAGAACAACUGUGUACGUAAAUAUGCACGUCUUGACGGUAACUAAUCAGAAAGCCACGGCUAACUACGUG